GAUGAAGAACGCAGCGAAAUGCGAUAAGUAACGUGAAUUGCAGAAUUCAGUGAAUCAUCGAAUCUUUGAACGCACAUUGCGCCCCCUGGUAUUCCGGGGGGCAUGCCUGUCCGAGCGUCAUUACAACCCUCAAGCUCAGCUUGGUGUUGGGCCCCGCCGCCCCGGCGGGCCCUAAAGUCAGUGGCGGUGCCGUCCGGCUCCGAGCGUAGUAAUUCUUCUCGCUCUGGAGGUCCGGUCGUGUGCUCGCCAGCAACCCCCAAUUUUUUUCAGGUUGACCUCGGAUCAGGUAGGGAUACCCGCUGAACUUAAGCAUAUCAAUAAGCGGAGGA
rnacentral:misc_RNA from 1 species